UACGGAGGGUGCGAGCGUUGUUCGGAAUCAUUGGGCGUAAAGGGCGCGUAGGUGGUUCUGUAUGUCUACCGUGAAAGCAUACAGCUCAACUGUAUUUUGUCGGUAGAAACUGCAGGACUUGAGGCUGGGAGGGGCUGGUGGAAUUCCCUGUGUAGCGGUGAAAUGCGUAGAGAUGGGGGAGAACACUCGUGGCGAAGGCGGCCAGCUAGACCAGUUCUGACACUGAGGCGCGACAGCGUGGGGAGCAAACAGG
rnacentral:rRNA from 1 species